rnacentral:rRNA from 1 species
CCUACGGGAGGCUGCCGUGAGGAAUAUUGGUCAAUGGACGAGAUUCUGAACCAGCCAAGUAGCGUGAAGGAUGACUGCCCUAUGGGUUGUAAACUUCUUUUAUAAAGGAAUAAAACGAGGCACGUGUGCCUUUUUGCAUGUACUUUAUGAAUAAGGAUCGGCUAACUCCGUGCCAGCAGCCGCGGUAAUACGGAGGAUCCGAGCGUUAUCCGGAUGUAUUGGGUUUAAAGGGAGCGUAGAUGGGUUGUUAAGUCAGUUGUGAAAGUUUGCGGCUCAACCGUAAAAUUGCAAUUGAUACUGGCAGUCUUGAGUACAGUUGAGGUAGGCGGAAUUCGUGGUGUAGCGGUGAAAUGCUUAGAUAUCACGAAGAACCCCGAUUGCGAAGGCAGCUUACUAAACUGUGACUGACAUUGAUGCUCGAAAGUGUGGGUAUCAAACAGGAUUAGAUACCCUUGUAGUC